rnacentral:rRNA from 1 species
CACGUAGUUAGCCGUGGCUUCCUCCUCUGGUACCGUCAUUAUCGUCCCAGAAGACAAGAGUUUACAACCCGAAGGCCUUCAUCCUCCACGCGGCGUUGCUGCAUCAGGCUUUCGCCCAUUGUGCAAUAUUCCCCACUGCUGCCUCCCGUAGGAGUCUGGACCGUGUCUCAGUUCCAAUGUGGCCGAUCACCCUCUCAGGUCGGCUACGCAUCGUGGCCUUGGUGAGCCGUUACCUCACCAACUAGCUAAUGCGCCGCGGGUCCAUCUCAUAGCGGAUUGCUCCUUUAAUCACUGUACCAUGCAGUACUGUGAUGUUAUGCGGUAUUAAUCUCCCUUUCGGGAGGCUAUCCCCCUCUAUGAGGCAGGUUACCCACGUGUUACUCACCCGUCCGCCGCUGGAGACCGAAGUCUCCCGCUCGACUUGCAUGUGUUAGGCACGCCGCCAGCGUUCGUCCUGAGCCAGGAUCAAACUCU